UUCGCAAUGCCCGAAAGGGUGACGAAGCGACGCCGCGUGCGGGAAGAAGGCCUUCGGGUUGUAAACCGCUGUCGGGAGUUAGGAAAUGCAAGGGCGUUAAUAGCGUUCUUGUUUGACUAAGGCUCCGGAGGAAGCCACGGCUAACUCUGUGCCAGCAGCCGCGGUAAUACAGAGGCGGCAAGCGUUGUUCGGAAUUAUUGGGCGUAAAGAGCACGUAGGCGGCCUUGCAAGUCAGUUGUGAAAGCCUUCCGCUUAACGGAAGAACGGCAUCUGAUACUACAGGGCUUGAGUACGGGAGGGGAGAGUGGAACUUCUGGUGGAGCGGUGAAAUGCGUAGAUAUCAGAAGGGACGCCGGCGGCGAAAGCGACUCUCUGGCCCGAAACUGACGCUGAGUGUGCGAAAGCUAGGGGAGCAAACGGGAUUAGAUACCCCGGUAGUCCUAGCCGUAAACGAUGGGCACUAAGUAGAGGGGUUUU
rnacentral:rRNA from 1 species